UGGGGAAUAUUGCACAAUGGGCGCAAGCCUGAUGCAGCCAUGCCGCGUGUAUGAAGAAGGCCUUCGGGUUGUAAAGUACUUUCAGCGAGGAGGAAGGCGUUGUGGUUAAUAACCGCAGCGAUUGACGUUACUCGCAGAAGAAGCACCGGCUAACUCCGUGCCAGCAGCCGCGGUAAUACGGAGGGUGCAAGCGUUAAUCGGAAUUACUGGGCGUAAAGCGCACGCAGGCGGUCUGUCAAGUCGGAUGUGAAAUCCCCGGGCUCAACCUGGGAACUGCAUCCGAAACUGGCAGGCUAGAGUCUUGUAGAGGGGUAGGAUUCAGG
rnacentral:rRNA from 1 species